UUGCAAAAUAAAAAAUUAAAAGCUAUAAUAUAAAAGUCUUUAUGACUAUGGUAAUAAAAGUUAUACGAAAUAGAUGAUAUGGACCCGAGGGCGGUACUCGGCACCUCCACCAUUUAAAAUAAUAUAAUCAUAAAAGGGGGUGAAUUAGUUUCGACAUACAUUAAAAGGUAUAAUGUUUACUCGGCAAGAUACGACCGCAACAGUUCAAAUCAUAAAUGCAGAAGAUAAUUUUGCAGAGCUCAGAGCAGCUGCUUAGUCU
rnacentral:tmRNA from 1 species